UACAGAGGUCUCAAGCGUUGUUCGGAUUCAUUGGGCGUAAAGGGUGCGUAGGCGGCGCGGUAAGUCGGAUGUGAAAUCUCGGGGCUUAACUCCGAAACUGCAUUCGAUACUACCGUGCUUGAGGACUGGAGAGGAGACUGGAAUUUACGGUGUAGCGGUGAAAUGCGUAGAUAUCGUAAGGAAGACCAGUGGCGAAGGCGGGUCUCUGGACAGUUCCUGACGCUGAGGCACGAAGGCCAGGGGAGCGAACAGG
rnacentral:rRNA from 1 species